rnacentral:rRNA from 1 species
UACGGAGGGUGCAAGCGUUACUCGGAAUCACUGGGCGUAAAGCGCGCGCAGGCGGUCUUUUAAGUUGGAUGUGAAAGCCUACGGCUCAACCGUAGAACUGCAUCCAAAACUAUUAGACUAGAGUGUGGGAGAGGAAGAUGGAAUUAGUUGUGUAGGGGUAAAAUCCGUAGAGAUAACUAGGAAUACCAAAAGCGAAGGCAAUCUUCUGGAACACUACUGACGCUGAGGCGCGAAAGCGUGGGGAGCAAACAGGAUUAGAUACCCUGGUAGUCCACGCAGUAAACGAUGAAUGUUAGUCGUCGGGGGCCUAGUGUCUUCGGUGAUGCAGCUAACGCAUUAAACAUUCCGCCUGGGGAGUACGGUCGCAAGAUUAAAACUCAAAGGAAUAGACGGGGACCCGCACAAGUGGUGGAGCAUGUGGUUUAAUUCGAAGAUACGCGAAGAACCUUACCUAGCCUUGACAUAUUUAAGAAUCCGACAGAGAUGUUGGAGUGCCUUCGGGAGCUUUCUUACAGGUGCUGCACGGCUGUCGUCAGCUCGUGUCGUGAGAUGUUGGGUUAAGUCCCGCAACGAGCGCAACCCUCGUCACUAGUUACUAACGGUUCGGCCGAGGACUCUAGUGAGACUGCCUUCGUAAGGAGGAGGAAGGUGAGGACGACGUCAAGUCAUCAUGGCCCUUACGGCUAGGGCAACACACGUGCUACAAUGGCCAGGACAGUGAGACGCGAUACCGCGAGGUGGAGCAAAUCUAUAAACCUGGUCUCAGUUCGGAUUGUAGUCUGCAACUCGACUACAUGAAGCUGGAAUCACUAGUAAUCGUAGAUCAGCUAUGCUACGGUGAAUACGUUCCCGGGUCU